GUGAAUAUAGCUUAAUCGGUAAAGUAACUAUUUGUGGCAUAGUCGUUCCUGGUUCAAGUCCAGGUUUUCACC
rfam:Stachybotrys chlorohalonata IBT 40285 unplaced genomic scaffold scaffold1832, whole genome shotgun sequence.